CAUUUCCUGGGACCUAGAACGGGCCUAGCUCAGAGCAGGUGCUCACUAUUGAUGGAAUGCAUGUUGAAAGAAUGCGUGAAUCUCAUCUCCUUUUGUGGGUGAAAAUCUCAUCCUAUUCUCACUCCUGAUUAACUUUCUUUCUUUUUUUUUUUUUUCAAAAUGGAGCCCUGAUCUGUCACCCAGGCUGCAGUGCAAUGGUGCAAUCUUGGCUCGCUGCAACCUCUGCCUUCUGGAUUAAAGCAAUUCUCCUGCCUCAGCCUCCUGGGUAGCUGGGAUUACAGGGGAGUCCUUGAGCAGAAGGAAGCAAGUUGCCUGAGAUUCUUCAAAGCCCGCAGCCCUUUUGGAUGUUAGAUGGUUAUUCUCAGAGCCUUUAUGAUGCAUAAUAAAGACCUAGCUUGGACCAAUAUUAGGAUGAGUUAUCUUGCUAUUAACAUUCUUUUAGGUAGAAGUUGCUGGUCCCAUCUUGCUCACAAUCCUCCAAAGUUUGAAAGUUAUUUUCCAGGAGACUUGGCUUGCACUGAGAGCUGCCCUCCCACCCUCUCUCCAAAUUUCCUCUUGGGGGUAGCCUAACAAGGUGCUGUCACAGACCCUUGUCAGCCACUAUGACCCCACCCAGACCAUCCCUCUGCUGUUUCACUCUUUGAUAGUCUCUGGAGCUCUCUGGGGAGGGGU
rnacentral:sRNA from 1 species